rnacentral:rRNA from 1 species
GAUUCCCCCAGUAGUGGCGAGCGACCGGGGAGGAGCCCAAACCGUCGGCGUUACGGCGCCUUCGGGGUUGUAGGACCGCAGUGUCGCACGAGGCCCGUGAAUGGAAGGCCCUGGAAAGUGCCGCCAUAGAGCAUGAAAGCUGCGUACAUGUAGCGUGCCGAAGCGUAGCGGAAUCCUGAGUAGCGCGGGACACGAGGAAUCCUGCGUGAAUCCGCCGGGACCAUCCGGCAAGGCUAAAUACUCCCGGGAGACCGAUAGCGAACCAGUACCGUGAGGGAAAGGUGAAAAGUACCCCGACAAGGGGAGUGAAACAGACCUGAAACUGAACGCUUACAAGCAGUCGGAGGGAGCUUGUCUCCUGACGGCGUACCUUUUGUAUAAUGGGUCAGCGACUUAAUCUGGCAUGCGAGCUUAAGCCGAUAGGUGUAGGCGCAGCGAAAGCGAGUCUGAAUAGGGCGAUGAGUUCGUUGGAUUAGACCCGAAACCGAGUGAUCUAGCCAUGGCCAGGUUGAAGGUGCGGUAACACGCACUGGAGGACCGAACCCACGCCUGUUGAAAAAGUCGGGGAUGAGCUGUGGCUAGGGGUGAAAGGCCAAUCAAACUCGGAAAUAGCUGGUUCUCCGCGAAAUCUAUUUAGGUAGAGCGUCUCAUGAAUACCAUCGGGGGUAGAGCACUGGAUGGGCUAUGGGGGCUUACCGCCUUACUGAUCCUAACCAAACUCCGAAUACCGAGAAGUACUAUCCGGCAGACACACAGUGGGUGCUAACGUCCAUUGUGGAGAGGGAAACAACCCUGACCGCCAGUUAAGGUCCCUAAGUUAUGGCUAAGUGGGAAAGGAUGUAGGACUCCCAAAACAACCAGGAUGUUGGCUUAGAAGCAGCCAUCAUU